rnacentral:misc_RNA from 1 species
AACGCACAUUGCGCCCGCCAGCAUUCUGGCGGGCAUGCCUGUUCGAGCGUCAUUUCAACCCUCGCAGCCCCUCUGGGCAGCGGUGUUGGGGACCGGCACAACUGGCGCGCCCCCGUGGCGCCCGGCGCCGCCCCCGAAAUACAGUGGCGGUCCCGCCGCAGCCUCCCUUGCGUAGUAGCACACCUCGCACCGGAGCGCGGCGCGGCCAUGCCGUAAAACCCCCGACUUUCUGAGUUUGACCUCGAAUCAGGUAGGAAUACCCGCUGAACUUAAGCAUCUCA